rnacentral:lncRNA from 1 species
UCCUGGAUGAAGGAGAAACACCAGAUUUGAACAAAGCAGGGUUGUAUAACGACUAUGAGGCUCAAUAGUAAAAAUAUAAAUUCAAGCUGGGAGAAAUGUGAUGCCAGUAAAGGCUAGCCAGCCUUCAGAAUCAUUUUACGUCGUGCAGCAUUUAUGUUGGAACUUAAUGGACAUAAGACACCAGAAUUUAAUAAGAGACUAAAAGAAAAUAGAUGAGAUACUUGAAGAACAUAUGUGGAGGAGGAAUGAGAUUGCUGCACAUGGAGGAGGAGUAAAAGAGACUCUCCAUUCUCAUAUUCUCUGACUUCGGAUUGAGAGAGGGUUCUGUGAAUCCAGGAUCU